rnacentral:rRNA from 1 species
GCAUAUCAAUAAGCGAGGAAAAGAAACUAACAAGGAUUCCCCUAGUAACUGCGAGUGAAGCGGGAAAAGCUCAAAUUUAAAAUCUGGCGGUCCUUGUGGCUGUCCGAGUUGUAAUCUAGAGAAGUGUUAUCCGCGCUGGACCGUGUACAAGUCUCCUGGAAUGGAGCGUCAUAGAGGGUGAGAAUCCCGUCUUUGACACGGACUGCCAGGGCUUUGUGAUGCGCUCUCAAAGAGUCGAGUUGUUUGGGAAUGCAGCUCAAAAUGGGUGGUAAAUUCCAUCUAAAGCUAAAUAUUGGCGAGAGACCGAUAGCGAACAAGUACCGUGAGGGAAAGAUGAAAAGAACUUUGGAAAGAGAGUUAAACAGUACGUGAAAUUGUUGAAAGGGAAACGCUUGAAGUCAGUCGCGUUGGCCAGAAAUCAACCUUACUUCUUGUGGGGCGUACUUUCUGGUUGACGGGUCAGCAUCAAUUUUGACCGUUGGAAAAAGGUUAGGGGAAUGUGGCAUCUUCGGAUGUGUUAUAGCCCUUGAUUGUAUACAACGGCUGGGAUUGAGGAACUCAGCACGCCGCAAGGCCGGGUUUUUAACCACGUAACGUGCUUAGGAUGCUGGCAAAAUGGCUUUAAUCGACCCGUCUUGAAACACGGACCAAGGAGUCUAACAUGCCUGCGAGUGUUUGGGUGGAAAACCCGAGCGCAUAAUGAAAGUGAAAGUUGAGAUCUCUGUCGUGGAGAGCAUCGACGCCCGGGACCAGACCUUUUGUGACGGUCCCGCGGUAGAGCAUGUAUGUUGGGACCCGAAAGAUGGUGAACUAUGCCUGAAUAGGGUGAAGCCAGAGGAAACUCUGGUGGAGGCUCGUAGCGAUUCUGACGUGCAAAUCGAUCGUCGAAUUUGGGUAUAGGGGGCGAAAGACUAAUCGAACCAUCUAGUAGCUGGGUCCCUGCCGAAG